rnacentral:tRNA from 1 species
GGAGAGGUGCCAGAGCGGCUGAAUGGGCUAGUCUCGAAAACUAGUGUGCCUACGGGUACCGUGGGUUCGAAUCCCACCCUCUCCG